rnacentral:lncRNA from 1 species
CUAAAACCCCUCUCCGCUAUCAAACACUCUCAAACCUAACCCUAACGAACCUUUCUAACACUCAUCUAUGGUUAUAUCCGAUGAUUUCUCACGACCCCCAGGCCUCUGAUGGCUUCCUUCACGUAAGUCUUGCCAUUUCCAGGGUACCAGAGCUAGUUGGAUUGCAACUAUGGUCACAUUCUCACCUGUUUUAGUCCAUUCCAGUGUGAUUCCGAGUAAUAUCGUCCUAUAUUGACUAUGAUCUAUGAUUUCUAAGUAUGUUUCUUCACCUUUGUGUUGUCCUCUUCAAAACCCUAAUUUUUUUUUCUGUGCCUCUUAGCUCUGUAUAAAUCUGAGAGGAUUUAGACAUGUUUCAUGUGUGUUUUGCGACAACCUUGAGGUUCUUUACAAGAAUCGUAUGAUUUUCAAGUGAUUUUCAUCAAUUUAUAAACUAGCGUUUCCGGAACUUCUUUUACAAAAUGUUUGAUGACUUUUUGUGUUUAAUCUUCUUCUUCUCAUAUGUUUUGACUAAUUUUAUAAGUCUUCUACAACCUUAUCUCGCUUGUACUGAAAGCCCUAAUAUUUUGGGGGUUCUUCAUUUGGUUUCUAAGUACUGGUACAUCUGAUUGUGUUGUUGCUUUAGGUUCUUGUGAUUUAUUGUCAUUUUAUUGUCCUAAUAUGAUUCUACUAAAUUUUUUAGUACAACCCUUUCACUGAUUCUACAUGCUUGUGUUCAUCCUGGCUAUUCAUGUUAAGACAUGUAUCUUUCUCUCUUGAAUCAAUGUCAUUUUAACUAUUUGUUUUGUUAAAGUUAUGUGUCGUGCCUUAUUUUAUAUGCCAAACAUGCUGACUAUUUCAUGAAUUUCUCUUUAAUUGAACCUUUGAUUCUUGUGAAUUCCUUUUUUUUUUGGUUUGAUUUGGACACUUUCCCUUAAACUUUCGAUUCAUACCUCUAUACUUGAUUUGAUUUAAUUGCUUGCCUUAAUUAAUUUUUUUCUUGCCUUGUCUGUAUUUUGCUAAUUCUUAUUGAUUGUUUCCUUAAUUGAAACUUUUGUUCAUUUACUCCCAAUUACCUGCUCUAUACCCAAACCUUAUUUGGUUCUUUUCCUUAAAUACCUAGCAAGCUUUUGCCAUUGAUUUGAUUAUCCUUUGAUUAAGGGAAUGACUUGGUGACUAAUUCUACAAACUUCCCUGAUUUGCUACUUAAUUGAUCUCCUACCUUAUUUUUGAAGCUUUUGAUUACCAUAUAAACCCCCUCUUAUUUUAACUUAAGACAACGACAAAGUUAAAAAAUCAUUACUCCUUACAUUCUAAUGUUCGCUUUCUCUUCUUCUACUUGUGAUACUCACUGAUCUAGCAGGCUGAAACCAAGGCCGGAUAUUGGAAUUUUAUUAGCUUUAUACUCUGCACCUUUUUCUGCAACUG